GAGAGAUUAUAAUAAAAGAUGUAAUAUUUAUGUUAUCUGAGUUCCAGAAAAAAAAAAAGAGAGAGAGAAGGACAGCAGGUCUGGCCAAAGUUAUUUAAUGAAGUAAUAGCUGAACAUAUCACCAAACUGGCAAAAGACAAAAACCCAAGUAUUUAAGGACAUAGAACUCAACAAUAACAUCCAUCAAAAGACGCUAAUUGGCAUUUAUAGAACACUCCACAAAGCAAGAGGGGAAUAGAUAUGAUUUUCAAGCAUCCCCAGCACAUAUACCAAGAUAUACAAUACUCUGAGCCACAAAAAAACCUCAAAAAUAUAAAAUAAUUGAAAUAAUACAGACUGCUUUUGACCACAAUUCAAACUAGAAGUCAAUAGCAAAACAUUAAAAGAAAAAUUUCUAAACAUUUAAAAACCAAAGAACCCACUUAUGUCCGGGGAUGGUGGCUCACACCUGUAAUCCCAGCACUUUGGGAGGCCGAGAUGGGUGGAUCACCUGACAUCAGGAGUUCAAGACCAACCUGUCCAACAUGGCAAAACCCGUCUCUACUAAAAAUACAAAAAUUAACUGGGCAUGGUGGCACAGGCCUGCAGUCCCAGCUACUCAGGGGGCUGAGGCAGGAGAAUCACUUGAACCUGAGAAGCGGAGGUUGCAGUGAGCCGAGAUCAUGCCACUGCACUCCAACCUGGUUGACCGAGUGAGAUUCCAUCUCAAAAAAAUUCUCAACGGUAAUUUAAAAAAAAUUGAUUGAACUCAGUGGUUGUCGUGGUGUUGGUGGUUUGUGUUAAUGUUGUUUCCUUUUUCUUAGCUGCCCAUCCUCCCCUACACCAUCUAGUGAAUCUGGCAGAACUCACCACACUGUGAUUUGAACAUCCUGGGAACUCUUCAGAAGCAGGCUGGGCGCGGUGGGCUACACCUGUAAUCCCAGCACUUUGGGAGGCCAAGGCGAGCGGAUCACUAGAGGUCAGGAAUCAAGACCAGCCUGAGUCAGGAGAAUCGCUUGAACCUGGGAGGUGGAAGUUGCAGUGAGCCGAGAUUUAUAUAUACACGCACACACACACACACACACACACACAUAUAAACAUAUAUAGUUUCAAAAUUUCAGUAAAUAUGCAAAUAUUAAAAAACUAUUGUAUUUAGGACAGUUUAGGAUUCUGAAAAUAAUUCUCAUGCAUGAUUAAAGCCAUGCAUUUUAAGAAUGUAAUUAAAAAGAGUGAAUGCAUUUGCUCUAUGCAUUAUAUUUUAUCAAAAAAAUGUUUGGAAGGUGCUCUGUUCCAGAAAAUGUUUAGGGAACAGAUUUGCCUCACUAAUUUAGCAACAUAAUGCCACUAAUUUAUUUAAUACUUUAUUAUGUUAGGCAAUUUAUAGAUGAGAAUAUUUAAAUGGCAAAGUAUUUCAAAGAGUACUUUAAGCCCUACUGAUAUGCAAAGUUGUUAUUAAGAUAGCCUGUGGUGGGAAGGGCCAUGAGGAAGGAAAGGAAACUUGAAGCUGAACCAGCCUCUUUUUCAAUGCUGCCUGCCAUUCCCUUUUCAUCCAGAACAAAUUGUGUUUAUUAAUUGGAUUUCUGAAUAACAUUUCAUUUGUUUAAAAAACAAGGUCUUGCUAUUUAGAAAAGUUUAAAAUCUACUAUCUUAUGAGAUAGACAUAUAAUGAGGUAUAAUUAACAUAAUUAUAUAGAUGAAUAACCUGAACUCAAAGAAGUUAGGUGAUAUGCACACAGUUACACAGUUAUUAAAUGGAAGAACAAUUUUCGAAACCUAAAUUAUUGGCUUCAGUUCCAGCACCUGAUAUGAUUGAAAUCAGAGAUAGAAAUCUAUUCCUCAUUUUGCCUGACUUCUUUCAUCUUGGACUUUUUCUUGAGUAAAAAAUAAAAUGUGUUUAUGUGAUAAAGUGUCUGCUCCAAAUAUAUAAAAAUAAAAUUACUCUCAAACUCAUUAGACAAUUGGCCUAUAGCAUAAUGCAUCUCAGAAUUAACAUUCAUUUUUGAAACCUAAAUGGUUUAACUUAUUGCUACACCAGCUCUUUAUUUCAUGGACUAUAAAAUUCACGAAAUAUUGAGCUUCAUGGGCUAUGAAAUAAAAGCCUAUAAAAGUGUCUUGGAAAGUGUAAUUAUCUGCUAGAUCGGGCACUUUUACCAAACCCAUAAUAAAAUACACUGAGAUUUUUCUGUUGGAAUCACUUGAUAAACUAAAAACAGGGGAUACUAAUUGGAAAAUAGAUAAGGCCAUCAUGAUAUGCAAAUAAAGCAAAUGAAUGACAAUUAAUAACAAGAUUACAUCCUUCUAAAUUUAUUCAGUACAAUUAGGUUUGCUUAAUCUGCCUUUAUACCUGCUGCAAAAUUUUAGAAAAUGAGUAAACAGGUUUAAUCACAGAAAAUAAAACAAAAUCACUACCACCAAACGUCUAAAUCUCAUGCUUGACAGUUUUAGGACUUAUUUUACUUCCUCUUCAAAAUGGACUGAGAAAUUGCUUAAAGUAUUUAAAUGUAUCUUUUAUGGGGCUACAAUACUUUCUCUCUCUCUUUCCUGUAUUACAGAUUUAUAAUUACAAUAGCCUCAGAGGGGAAAAAAGUCAUUCCAUGAAAUCCUGAAUUAUUUCUUACUAUCCAAAUAUCUGAUUGUAUGUUUUAUUAGUAUUUAUUUAAAUAAGAUCAAUUUAUACCAAAACUAGUGAUAAAGUUCUUAGGUAGUGCCUUAAUAUCUUCAUAUUCUUAACACAUUUGCUUGCUUAUAUGUCAUUCCUGUAUAUUCUAACAAUGCCCUUUGUCCUGAUUGUCAACCGAGUAUUUCCCUGAAGACACAGUAGCUGAAUGUUCAGCUUCUUUUGUCUACUAUAAACAUAUUUGUCAGCAUUUGUUCUCACUCUUUAUUUCAAAACUUGUCCUAAAAUCUGGCUGAAGUUUAAAAUAUAUUACAGUUGUGUACCACACAAUGACAUUUCUGUCAACAGACCACAUACUUGAUGGUGGUCCCAUUAAGAUUAUAAUAUGACACUUUUAUUGUACCUUUUCUAUAUCUAGAUGUGUUUAGAUACACAAAUAUUUACUAUUGUGUUAAAAUUGCCUACAGUAUUCAAUACAGUAACAUGCGGUAUGGGUUUGUAGCCUAGGAACCGUAAGCUAUACCGUAUAGCCUAAGUGUGUAGCAACCUAUACCAUCCAUGUUUGUGUAAAUAUACACGAUGAGGUUUGCACAACAACCAAAUCAUCUAAUGAUGCAUUUCUCAGAAUGUAUCCCUGUCAUUCAACAAUGCAUGACUGUACUUUAAACAUUUGACUUAGUAUCUAUUAUUAAUUGCCCAUUUUGGCCAAUAGACUGAUUAACAUUCAUCAGAUCACUUGAUAUUUGCUUCUGUGUGAACACACAUAGUACAUACAUUCAUAAAAGUUUAAUUUCACUCCACAUUGUUUUCUUGCCAAUUGUCUCUUAUUUCCUUUUUUUGAGCAUAAGUACUUCAAUAGGACAACAGCUAGUUUUCCAAUGAUAUCAGCUUUCCUUCUUCUAUAGUAGGACUGCUGAUAACUGUGCUAGUAACGUAGCUACAAUUAAAACUAUAAUUCCUGGUCACUCUUAGAGUUUUGCUUGACUCCUCAAUAACUCUUCCCAUGUACACCAUGGUAAGUUCUGAGAAUACUCCUAAAAGAACAGCUCUUAUGUCUGCAUUCCCUUUUUUACUUCUUUUUUUAUGUAAGUCAAGUGGUCAAGCAAUUGCCAAGCAGAAGCAUAGCCCCUAGGCUAAUUUACCACAAUUUUUAUGGAAGUUGGCAAGAAAACAAUGAGUACAAAUGCAUUUAGACAAAUGGGUUAUAUUCAGUGCACAGAAAGCAGCAUUAACUUCAGGUUAAUGUCGGUGCUACUUGCCCCACUCCCAACUCUACGAGGGCAAUGCAGAGCAGAUCUGGGAAGAUGCUAUGCACAUGAGUCUGUUUCACUGCUAAGGAGAACUCUACUAGUGGGAACUCUUAAUCUUAUAAUUUUCCCCAGAGAAAGACAUUACUUUAUUAUCCUGACUGUAAGCCAAACUCUUUUCCAAAUAGGAAAACUACAUUCCUAUCCUGGAAUGUCUCUGAGGAGGUAUAAUGUCUUUGGCUAGGAGACAUGUCUCUGAAUUUCUCUGGAUGUAACGACUGUUUUGCCUUUCCAAGGAUGCUUGCUUGUAAAACCAUUCCUAAAUUGGCUUCUGUGAUUAGAGCAUGUGCAGAAAUGCCAGACCACAAAGAAUUAUCACCAAAGACAACUUCUUCUCAAAUAUGAAUAAGAUGGCAUGUUAUAGAUGAAGUUCACAUUUGAAGCAUCUGAACAUGGUAAAAUAAUAUGAUCAAAUGAGGUUGCGUCUCUGAGAUUCUCAUGAAACUGGGCUACAGUCCUGGCUACUUACCCUCAAACUUUUAUCAUAAAACACAAUUUCUGCUAUGUUGAAGCCAUUUUUAUUUUGUGGUUGUUUUUACUUAAAGUGGAAAUUAAUCUUUAUUGAUGCAAUUGCUUUUUGUUUCUUGUCUUAAAAAUAUGUCAAAAUAACAUAACCUGAUAUAAUUGAAUUGGCAAAAUGUAAAAAUGUACAAAAAAGAAAAAAGUUAUCAUACAUCUAGGUCUAACAUUACUAAAAAUCAAUCUAAUCAGAGCUUUAAACUAUGUUAUAAUGAUAUAUUUAUUUAUAAAUAUUUGAACACAUUUCUUAUUAUUUUCCGAAUAAAAUUAUUGAGAUUAUAGUGUUUAAAAAUUUUAAGACUCUUGAAUCAAAAUGCCAAAUCUGAUUUCUUAAAAUGAAUUUCACAUAUAUUUACUAAGAGUGAAUGACAGUAGCUUCUUCAGUAUAUUUCCUGUUUCAAUUUGUUUUAUUGGAUUGCUAGUGAACAUCUUUAGGAGCUUAGUAUAUAUUUGUAUUUGUGAUAACCAUGAAUAUCUUUUGUUUUUUGUCAAUGAGUGUCUGGAAAUUAUUGGCUGAGUCCAUAUGCUUUCUCCCUUUGCUUUUAGUUGGAAUGAUGUCAUGCACCUGUGGCCAAUGAAAUAAAGGCGGAA
rnacentral:lncRNA from 10 species